ensembl:lncRNA
GGAACUACUAAGAGGGAGCUGAUAAAUCUCCUCAAGUUACGUCAUUUGUGGAAGCAGUGGCCUACUACAAGUAUGAAAAUGAAAAGAAAUCUGAGGCUAGCCUUUUCAGAGGAGGGUGCAGUCGCUUCACUCCCUACUAGAAAAGAGAGAGACACGCCCCCUUUCCUUCCCCGCAAAACAGAGACACAAAAAAAACAACAACAAAUGAAAAGACUAAAUAACCAUCUUUACCCUCUUCAUGGAAAACUAAAAACAAAAUGCUUCCAGGUGGCAAAUGUUCAAAAGAAUCACAGAGUGUGCACAUUGUCAUUUAUUGAUGUAAUGUACUUAUGUUGAAAAAUAACAUUUUGUUACUCUUUUGUUUUGAUUGAAUGUAUUUGCAUUGACAUGUCUGUAUAGUGUCAAAAAAGACGACAAUAGUUCAUUUGGAAAAAGUGGCAAAAGAGUUGAAAUUUUAGUCUCCCUCUUUCUCACUCUUUUCUUCUCUAAGUUAUUGUUCCACAACUCAGCUUCUUAGGGGUGGCCUUUUGUGCUUGUUUUGCUUCAUUCUAAUUUCCCUACAUUUAUUGUUUCAAUAAGCCAUUUGCUCCCUAUAAAUUAAAUGCACUUAUGUUCAGCAAUUUCAGUUUGAGCAACAAAUUUCAAAUUGGAUUUUGUAAAUGAUACACGCAUUAGAGAACUGGUUCAAUUCUAAGUGAGCCAAUAACCAGAGCUGAUUUUCAGACUGACUUAAAGGGAUUUAGAGCUGUUCAGCCCAAAGGAGGCGAAAGUGCAACAUAAUUGCUACCAGGAAUUGAUGCAUUAUGAAACCCAGAAGGUGAGAGAAAGAGUGUGAUGUAUUACAGAAUCUUAAUGCAUGAGGAAGUGAUGUAUAGUAGGGUGUGAUGCAAGAGCUAUAGCAGCCAUUGCAAAAUAGGCAGCAGUGUGUUAUAGCUCAUUGAUCAUUGGCAUAGUGCCAGAGGCAGGAGGUAUCCCAUUACUGCUAAAUAGCUUUAAAGGAGAAAACUACAAUAUUGUCUCACUCUCGUCUCGUCCUGGACUACACAUAAGCCCACAUUUGAUCUAUAUCCGUAGGGACAAAAAAACGGACAAAAAAAAGUGAUCAGAUGGAAGAGUGUGAUCCUUUAGAAUUUUGUUUUCAUACUUAAAAGACAUCUCAAUAUCAUGGUCAUGUUAAAGCUGCAUUCAUUACAUUUUGACCAAUAAGGGGUAGAACAAUACCUUUACAAAUAAUAAUUAAGAACAAUAUUAAAAUAUGGUAAAAGAUGUUGCCAACACAUUUCACAGGCUAACGUGUUAGCCAUAACAAGUGUCUACUUUCCCAUCCGCAGACACAGAGCAACAUUUUAUUAUUAAUUGAAUUUGUUGUUUGUUUCCACCUGAUGAAUAAAAGUCCAAUAUUCAGACUGCUCUGAUAUCCUAACAGAUCAGUAGUGAAUGCGUAUCCGUCCCAUUGACAUAACUUUUCAGUGGACAUGGAAGCUGUGAACAGUGGCUAUGAGCGGAUAAGUUUAUUACACAAUAAUCAAAUAAAUGUGUCUUUUUAUUA